rnacentral:rRNA from 1 species
UUGGAGGGCAAGUCUGGUGCCAGCAGCCGCGGUAAUUCCAGCUCCAAUAGCGUAUAUUAAAGUUGUUGCAGUUAAAAAGCUCGUAGUUGAAUUUCGGGAUCAAUAUUUCGGUCAUGCCGUUGGUAUGCACUGUUAUCAUUGAUUUCUCACCUUCUAAAGAACCGUAAUGCCAUUAAUUUGGUGUUACGGGGAAUUAGGACUGUUACCUUGAAAAAAUUAGAGUGUUUAAAGCAGGCUCACGCUUGAAUACAUUAGCAUGGAAUAAUGAAAUAGGACGUUUGAUUCUAUUUUGUUGGUUUCUAGGAUCGACGUAAUGAUUAAUAGGGAUAGUUGGGGGCAUUAGUAUUCAAUUGUCAGAGGUGAAAUUCUUGGAUUUAUUGAAGACUAACUACUGCGAAAGCAUUUGCCAAGGAUGUUUUCAUUAAUCAAGAACGAAAGUUAGGGGAUCGAAGACGAUCAGAUACCGUCGUAGUCUUAACCAUAAACUAUGCCGACUAGGGAUCGGAUGAUGUUAAUUUUUUAAUGACUCAUUCGGCGCCUUACGGGAAAC